rnacentral:rRNA from 1 species
AACUAACGCUGGCGGCGUGCCUAAUACAUGCAAGUCGAACGAGGAAAGCACUUCGGUGCGAGUAUGAGUGGCGCACGGGUGAGUAACGCGUGGAUAAUCUGCCCUCUAGUGGGGAACAACCUACCGAAAGGUAGGCUAAUACCGCAUAAGACUACAGUCCCUGCGGGGACAGUGGUUAAAGAUUUAUCGCUAGAGGAUGAGUCCGCGUAAGAUUAGCUUGUUGGUGAGGUAAUGGCUCACCAAGGCUACGAUCUUUAGCUGGUCUGAGAGGAUGAUCAGUCACACUGGAACUGAGACACGGUCCAGACUCCUACGGGAGGCAGCAGUAGGGAAUAUUGCGCAAUGGGGGAAACCCUGACGCAGCGACGCCGCGUGAGUGAUGAAGGCCCUCGGGUCGUAAAACUCUGUCGUAAAGGAAUAAAAAAAUGAAGGUACUUUACAAGAAAGGACCGGCUAACUUCG